GAUGAAGAACGCAGCGAAAUGCGAUACGUAAUGUGAAUUGUAGAAUUCAGUGAAUCAUCGAGUCUUUGAACGCACAUUGCGCCCCCUGGUAUUCCGGGGGGCAUGCCUGUCCGAGCGUCAUUGCUGCCCUCAAGCACGGCUUGUGUGUUGGGCCUCCGUCCUCCUCCCGGGGGACGGGCCCGAAAGGCAGCGGCGGCACCGCGUCCGGUCCUCGAGCGUAUGGGGCUUCGUCACCCGCUCUUGUAGGCCCGGCCGGCGCUUGCCGACACAUCAAUCUUUUUUCCAGGUUGACCUCGGAUCAGGUAGGGAUACCCGCUGAACUUAAGCAUAUCAAUAAGCGGAGGA
rnacentral:misc_RNA from 1 species